UACGUAGGUGACAAGCGUUGUCCGGAUUUACUGGGCGUAAAGAGCGCGCAGGCGGUCGAUCAAGUCGAGUGUGAAAGCCCCCGGCUCAACUGGGGAGGUCAUUCGAAACUGGUCGACUCGAAGGCAGGAGAGGGUAGUGGAAUUCCCGGUGUAGUGGUGAAAAUGCGUAGAUAUCUGGAGGAAUACCGGUGGCGAAGGCGGCAUCCUGGACCAUUACUGACGCUGAGGCGCGAAAGCUAGGGGAGCAAACGGG
rnacentral:rRNA from 1 species